UACGUAGGGUGCAAGCGUUAAUCGGAAUUACUGGGCGUAAAGAGCUUGUAGGCGGUUUGUCGCGUCUGCCGUGAAAAUCCGGGGCUCAACCCCGGACUUGCGGUGGGUACGGGCAGACUAGAGUGUGGUAGGGGAGACUGGAAUUCCUGGUGUAGCGGUGAAAUGCGCAGAUAUCAGGAGGAACACCAAUGGCGAAGGCAGCUCGCUGGGACGGUACUGACGCUGAGGCGCGAAAGCGUGGGGAGCAAACAGG
rnacentral:rRNA from 1 species